GGGUGCGAUCAUACCAGCACUAAUGCACCGGAUCCCAUCAGAACUCCGAAGUUAAGCGUGCUUGGGCAAGAGUAGUACUAGGAUGGGUGACCCCCUGGGAAGUCCUCGUGUUGCACCCC
rnacentral:rRNA from 1 species